GAAGCGUUUACUUGGACCCC
rnacentral:misc_RNA from 1 species